rnacentral:rRNA from 1 species
UACGAAGGGGGCUAGCGUUGCUCGGAAUCACUGGGCGUAAAGGGUGCGUAGGCGGGUUUUAAGUCAGGGGUGAAAUCCUGGAGCUCAACUCCAGAACUGCCUUUGAUACUGACGAUCUCGAGUCCGGGAGAGGUGAGUGGAACUGCGAGUGUAGAGGUGAAAUUCGUAGAUAUUCGCAAGAACACCAGUGGCGAAGGCGGCUCACUGGCCCGAUACUGACGCUGAGGCACGAAAGCGUGGGGAGCAAACAGGG